rnacentral:rRNA from 1 species
CCAAGCAAGUUCGCUGGUGUGGUAUCUACAGUGACAGUGACAUCGGUAGGACUGCUGACAUUGCCUUGUGCAUCCACCGCUUGUGCAUGGAUGGUAAUUGCACCAUCGGCUGUCACAGGAAUCGCUGCUGUGAUAUAGCCAUUCGUCAAGUCAGUUGCAUUGACAGUGUAGUCAGUGCCGUUAACAUUCACAACAGUACCCACCGCUGCAUCUGGACCCAACGUUACACGGGCAUUAAAGCUACCGUCUGCGCCAAGUUCUGAAGCAUUGAUAAUGCCGUCAGCAUUUAAGUCAUCCGGUACUGUAAUCGGACCAAGUAAGUUUGCUGGUGUUGUAUCCACAGUCACAGUGACAUCUGUUGGACUGCUGAUAUUACCUUGUGCAUCCACUGCUUGGGCAUGGAUGGUGAUCGGACCAUCCGCUGUUACAGGAAUUGCUGCGGUGAUAUAGCCAUUCGUCAAGUCAGUUGCAUUUACUGUGUAGUCAGUGCCGUUAACGUUUACUACAGUACCCACCGCUGCAUCUGGACCCAAUGCUACACGGGCAUUGAUGCUGCCGUCUGUGCCAAGUUCUGAUGCAUUGAUGAUGCCAUCAGUAUUUAAGUCAUCCGGUACUGUGAUCGCACCAAGCAAGUUCGCUGGUGUGGUAUCUACAGUCACGAUUACAUCUGCUGGACUGCUGAUAUGACCUUGUGAAUCCACUGCUUGUGCAUGGAUGGUGAUUGGACCAUCUGCAGUUACAGGAAUUGCUGCGGUGAUAUAACCAUUGCCAAGGUCAGUUGCACUCACUGUGUAAUCAGUGCCGUUAACGUUUACGACUGUGCCUACCACUGCAUCUGGACCCAACACUACACGGGCAUUAAAGCUGCCAUCUGUGCCAAGUUCUGCUGCAUUGAUGAUACCGUCAGCAUUUAAGUCAUCCGGUACUGUAAUCGGACCAAGCAAGUUCGCUGCUGCAGUAUCUACAGUCACGACUGCGCUACCUGUGCCCACAUUACCUGCCGGGUCGGUUGCUGUCACAGUCACAGUAUGUGGACCAUCAGUCAACACUGGAAGUGUAUUGUCUGCAAGUGUCCAGGUACCGUUGCCAUUGUUCACCGCAGUAUAGUCCACACCAUUUACAGUCACGACAACAGUCGCUGCUGGAUCGUUCACUGUACCUGUUAAUUCAGGCGUACUGUCAUUGGUGGUUACAUCACUUAAAGCAACUGUCGGCGCUGUCGUAUCUAAAGUUACAGUGACAUCUGUUGGACUGCUGAUGUUGCCUUGCGCAUCCACUGCUUGUGCAUGGAUGAUAAUUGGGCCAUCUGCUGUUACAGGAAUCGCUGCUGUGAUAUAGCCAUUGCCAAGGUCAGUUGCAUUCACUGUAUAGUCAGUGCCAUUAACAUUCACAACAGUACCCACCGCUGCAUCUGGACCCAAUGCUACACGGGCAUUGAAGCUACCGUCUGUGCCAAGUUCUGAUGCAUUGAUGAUACUGUCAGCAUUUAAGUCAUCCGGUACUGUAAUCGAACCAAGCAAGUUCGCUGCUGUAGUAUCUACAGUUACAGUGACAUCUGUCGGGCUACUGAUAUGACCUUGUGAAUCCACUGCUUGGGCAUGGAUGGUAAUUGGGCCAUCCGCUGUUACAGGAAUCGCUGCGGUGAUAUAGCCAUUGCUUAAGUCAGUUGCACUCACUGUAUAGUCAGUACCGUUAACAUUCACAACAGUACCUACCACUGCAUCUGGACCCAACGCUACACGGGCAUUAAAGCUGCCAUCUGUGCCAAGUUCUGAUGUAUUGAUGAAGCCAUCAGCAUUUAAGUCAUCCGGUACUGUAAUCGGACCAAGCAAGUUCGCUGCUG